rnacentral:lncRNA from 1 species
CUUUUUAAUAAUUUGCAGCUGUCAAAACAGUAAUGCAGAGGAAACGUCGAGAAUAUGGACACAAAAACGUCGCCGGUAUCCCCAAAAUGUGAGCGCGGAUCAUCAUUUGUUAUUGGUAAUAUGU